rnacentral:rRNA from 1 species
ACAUCCAGCGAAUUCGGUAGAGAUACCUUAGUGGCCUUCGGGAACGCUGAGACAGGUGCUGCAUGGCUGUCGUCAGCUCGUGUUGUGAAAUGUGGUUAAGUCCGCAACGAGCGCAACCCUUAUCCUUUGUUGCCAGCGGUCCGGCCGGGAACGUCAAAGGAGACUGCCAGUGAUAAACUGGAGGAAGGUGGGGAUGACGUCAAGUCAUCAUGGCCCUUACGAGUAGGGCUACAUACGUGCUACAAUGGCGCAUACAAAGAGAAGCGACCUCGCGAGAGCAAGCGGACCUCAUAAAGUGCGUCGUAGUCCGGAUUGGAGUCUGCAACUCGACUCCAUGAAGUCGGAAUCGCUAGUAAUCGUAGAUCAGAAUGCUACGGUGAAUACGUUCCCGGGCCUUGUACACACCGCCCGUCACACCAUGGGAGUGGGUUGCAAAAGAAGUAGGUAGCUUAACCUUCGGGAGGGCGCUUACCACUUUGUGAUUCAUGACUGGGGUGAAGUCGUAACAAGGUAGGCGUAGUGCU